rnacentral:pre_miRNA from 1 species
UUUAAGUGCAGCUAUGAUUUUCCGUGCACAACUUUGAUCGUUCGUCUUAUUUGAUUUUUUUAAAAAAAAUAAAAACAUAAGUCACAUAUAAAGUACUAUUCAUGUUUUAUAAUCUCAUAAUAAUAAAAAUACUAAGUAUAAAAAAAUUCAAAUAAGACGAACGAUCAAAAUUGGGCACGAAAACUUAUGGUUGCACUUAAA